AAUAACAGAGAAUUCGAAAUCGUAAUUUGAUUGAAACAAGAAAUACAAAUUUCAAGGAAUAACAAAGAGCGUCCCGAGUUAAUAAAACUGAGAAAUUGACUCGGAAAGAAAUUUUUUGGAAGCUCCAUUGCGAGAUUCAAACCUAACCAUUAAAGGAGAAGCAGUGGGAACGACAGAACCUAUGACUGGAUAGGAUUUUCUUGAAAAGAAUCCCAAUACUUCAUUGGGUGGGAUGGCGGAACAAACCAAAAAAAUUGUCUUAUUUGAUAAGGUUAUGAA
rnacentral:misc_RNA from 1 species